rnacentral:rRNA from 1 species
CCUACGGGAGGCAGCAGUGAGGAAUAUUGGUCAAUGGGCGGAAGCCUGAACCAGCCAAGUAGCGUGCAGGAUGACGGCCCUACGGGUUGUAAACUGCUUUUAUACGGGAAUAACGCGCCUUACGUGUAGGGCUUUGCAUGUACCGUAUGAAUAAGGCCCGGCUAAUUCCGUGCCAGCAGCCGCGGUAAUACGGAAGGUCCGGGCUUUAUCCGGAUUUUUUGGGUUUAAAGGGGGCGCAGGCGGUCUGUUAAGUCAGCCGUCAAAGCCCGGGGGUUCACCCCGGCCCGGCCGUUGAAACUGGCAGUCUCGAGUUGGAGAGAAGUAUGCGGAAUGCGCGGUGUAGCGGUGAAAUGCAUAGAUAUCGCGCAGAACUCCGAUUGCGAAGGCAGCAUGCCGGCUCCACACUGACGCUGAGGCACGAAAGCGUGGGUAUCGAACAGGAUUAGAUACCCCGGUAGUC